CGCGCAGUGGUGUAACGGCAACAUGCCGGGCUCAUAAUCCGGGUGAUCUGGGUUCGAAUCCCAGCUGCGCCA
rnacentral:tRNA from 1 species